GGCAAAGCAUUGUGAAAAGCUUAGACAAUUAUUUGAAGAUCAUGAAAGCAAACUAUGUACCUCCAUUCUUGGUCCGCAAAGUUUUCACUCAGAUAUUCUCAUUUAUUAAUGUCCAACUAUUUAACAGCCUUCUUUUGCGGCGGGAGUGUUGUUCAUUCAGCAAUGGAGAGUAUGUGAAAGCUGGCUUGUCUGAAUUAGAACAGUGGUGUUCUGGAGCAACUGAGGAAUAUGCAGGUUCUGCCUGGGAUGAAUUAAAGCACAUUAGGCAGGCUGUUGGAUUCCUUGUUAUACAUCAAAAACCCAAAAAGACGUUGAAUGAGAUAACAAAAGACCUAUGUCCUGUGCUU
rnacentral:misc_RNA from 1 species